rnacentral:lncRNA from 1 species
GGAGGCCUAUUCGACCUCUGUACAAAUCUUUUCAAAUGUCCUGCUUGAACUAGGGUCUCUAAUUUAUCCUUCAAAGUGACGCAAUCUUCAGUAGUAUGCCCCCUAUUUUGGUGAUAUCGACAGUACUUACUUUCAUCGGCACCGAAAGGGGUUGGAGCUUGGACCGUAGUCAUUAAAUCCGCUCUCAAAGCUUCCUCCAA